rnacentral:rRNA from 1 species
CAGCAGCCGCGGUAAUACGGAGGGUGCAAGCAUUAAUCGGAAUUACUGGGCGUAAAGCGCACGCAGGCGGUCUGUCAAGUCAGAUGUGAAAUCCCCGGGCUUAACCUGGGAACUGCACUUGAAACUGGCAGGCUAGAGUCUUGUAGAGGGGGGUAGAAUUCCAGGUGUAGCGGUGAAAUGCGUAGAGAUCUGGAGGAAUACCGGUGGCGAAGGCGGCCCCCUGGACAAAGACUGACGCUCAGGUGCGAAAGCGUGGGGAGCAAACAGGAUUAGAUACCCCGGUAGUCCCUGUCUCUUAUAC